UUUGGGUAUUGAAUGACGAGGUAUUUUUCGAUACUUGAUACUUCAGAGGCAAUUUGAUGGGUUCCUAAAAAAUUACAAUGUUAAAUAAGGAA